UUAAGCGACUAAGCGUACACGGUGGAUGCCCUGGCAGUCAGAGGCGAUGAAGGACGUGCUAAUCUGCGAUAAGCGUCGGUAAGGUGAUAUGAACCGUUAUAACCGGCGAUUUCCGAAUGGGGAAACCCAGUGUGAUUCGUCACACUAUCAUUAACUGAAUCCAUAGGUUAAUGAGGCGAACCGGGGGAACUGAAACAUCUAAGUACCCCGAGGAAAAGAAAUCAACCGAGAUUCCCCCAGUAGCGGCGAGCGAACGGGGAGCAGCCCAGAGCCUGAAUCAGUGUGUGUGUUAGUGGAAGCGUCUGGAAAGGCGCGCGAUACAGGGUGACAGCCCCGUACACAAAAAUGCACAUGCUGUGAGCUCGAUGAGUAGGGCGGGACACGUGGUAUCCUGUCUGAAUAUGGGGGGACCAUCCUCCAAGGCUAAAUACUCCUGACUGACCGAUAGUGAACCAGUACCGUGAGGGAAAGGCGAAAAGAACCCCGGCGAGGGGAGUGAAAAAGAACCUGAAACCGUGUACGUACAAGCAGUGGGAGCCUCUUAAUGGGGUGACUGCGUACCUUUUGUAUAAUGGGUCAGCGACUUAUAUUCUGUAGCAAGGUUAACCGAAUAGGGGAGCCGAAGGGAAACCGAGUCUUAACUGGGCGUUAAGUUGCAGGGUAUAGACCCGAAACCCGGUGAUCUAGCCAUGGGCAGGUUGAAGGUUGGGUAACACUAACUGGAGGACCGAACCGACUAAUGUUGAAAAAUUAGCGGAUGACUUGUGGCUGGGGGUGAAAGGCCAAUCAAACCGGGAGAUAGCUGGUUCUCCCCGAAAGCUAUUUAGGUAGCGCCUCGUGAAUUCAUCUCCGGGGGUAGAGCACUGUUUCGGCAAGGGGGUCAUCCCGACUUACCAACCCGAUGCAAACUGCGAAUACCGGAGAAUGUUAUCACGGGAGACACACGGCGGGUGCUAACGUCCGUCGUGAAGAGGGAAACAACCCAGACCGCCAGCUAAGGUCCCAAAGUCAUGGUUAAGUGGGAAACGAUGUGGGAAGGCCCAGACAGCCAGGAUGUUGGCUUAGAAGCAGCCAUCAUUUAAAGAAAGCGUAAUAGCUCACUGGUCGAGUCGGCCUGCGCGGAAGAUGUAACGGGGCUAAACCAUGCACCGAAGCUGCGGCAGCGACACUAUGUGUUGUUGGGUAGGGGAGCGUUCUGUAAGCCUGCGAAGGUGUACUGUGAGGUAUGCUGGAGGUAUCAGAAGUGCGAAUGCUGACAUAAGUAACGAUAAAGCGGGUGAAAAGCCCGCUCGCCGGAAGACCAAGGGUUCCUGUCCAACGUUAAUCGGGGCAGGGUGAGUCGGCCCCUAAGGCGAGGCCGAAAGGCGUAGUCGAUGGGAAACAGGUUAAUAUUCCUGUACUUGGUGUUACUGCGAAGGGGGGACGGAGAAGGCUAUGUUGGCCGGGCGACGGUUGUCCCGGUUUAAGCGUGUAGGCUGGUUUUCCAGGCAAAUCCGGAAAAUCAAGGCUGAGGCGUGAUGACGAGGCACUACGGUGCUGAAGCAACAAAUGCCCUGCUUCCAGGAAAAGCCUCUAAGCAUCAGGUAACAUCAAAUCGUACCCCAAACCGACACAGGUGGUCAGGUAGAGAAUACCAAGGCGCUUGAGAGAACUCGGGUGAAGGAACUAGGCAAAAUGGUGCCGUAACUUCGGGAGAAGGCACGCUGAUAUGUAGGUGAAGUCCCUCGCGGAUGGAGCUGAAAUCAGUCGAAGAUACCAGCUGGCUGCAACUGUUUAUUAAAAACACAGCACUGUGCAAACACGAAAGUGGACGUAUACGGUGUGACGCCUGCCCGGUGCCGGAAGGUUAAUUGAUGGGGUUAGCGGUAACGCGAAGCUCUUGAUCGAAGCCCCGGUAAACGGCGGCCGUAACUAUAACGGUCCUAAGGUAGCGAAAUUCCUUGUCGGGUAAGUUCCGACCUGCACGAAUGGCGUAAUGAUGGCCAGGCUGUCUCCACCCGAGACUCAGUGAAAUUGAACUCGCUGUGAAGAUGCAGUGUACCCGCGGCAAGACGGAAAGACCCCGUGAACCUUUACUAUAGCUUGACACUGAACAUUGAGCCUUGAUGUGUAGGAUAGGUGGGAGGCUUUGAAGUGUGGACGCCAGUCUGCAUGGAGCCGACCUUGAAAUACCACCCUUUAAUGUUUGAUGUUCUAACGUUGGCCCCUGAUCGGGGUUGCGGACAGUGUCUGGUGGGUAGUUUGACUGGGGCGGUCUCCUCCUAAAGAGUAACGGAGGAGCACGAAGGUUGGCUAAUCCUGGUCGGACAUCAGGAGGUUAGUGCAAUGGCAUAAGCCAGCUUGACUGCGAGCGUGACGGCGCGAGCAGGUGCGAAAGCAGGUCAUAGUGAUCCGGUGGUUCUGAAUGGAAGGGCCAUCGCUCAACGGAUAAAAGGUACUCCGGGGAUAACAGGCUGAUACCGCCCAAGAGUUCAUAUCGACGGCGGGGUUUGGCACCUCGAUGUCGGCUCAUCACAUCCUGGGGCUGAAGUAGGUCCCAAGGGU
rnacentral:rRNA from 1 species